AGAAUCACCUGGAGGGCUACUCAAACAGAGAUUGCUAGACCCUGCCCCCAGAGAAUCUGAUUCAAUAAAUUUGGUGUGGGGCCUGAGAACUCACAAUUCUAAGUUCCCAGGUAUAACUAUGCUGCUGCUGGCUUGGGGUCCACACUUGAAGAACUACUGCUCCAUGAGCCUUGAAGUAUUGUAGGCCCAAGGCACUGUGCCUACUAUGCUAACUGGCUACAUCAGCCUCACUGGAAGCUAUAAAAUCUUCUGGUAGCAAAGGACUCCUGCCAGCCAAAGGAAGGCUCAGAAGCCUGGAUCCAGUGUUUGGGGGCUCAACCGAAAUCCCUCCCAAGAAGCUUCAAUUUAUAAGGAGAACUAGACUGAGCAUCCAAAGAAUCCAGCUUCAGCUCCUCCAGUGGCCUCCAGGACUGGUGAAUCACAUUCAUAUCUCCAGCUGUUAGCCUGACUUGCCGAUACUUCAGACCUGUGAAACCUUGAGACAUCCACACUCUGUGGUGUGGAUGGCGGUCCACUUUCUGCAGGGUAAGGGAGCCUCCAGUCGGUCAGUGCCCUGGCUCUGCUGCGGCUUGUUUCAGAGACUGAAUUUCUAAGAUCCAGUUUUCAGCAACUCAGAGAGGCAGACACCAACCUGAAGCAGGCUUAAUGGAAUCACAAACAGCUGCCUGGCUGGGUUGUCAACUUCACUAACACGCAGACUAACAGAAGUUAUCUCUUCUGUUCUUUUUACCAUCUCCACACACCUAUGGAAGCCUCAUGCCAUACUUUGAAAUUAAGCCUGAUAGUAUCGGGGACACCUGGAAACCAACUUCUGGGAGUGAGAUGGCCCCAGGACUGGGUAUUUAGUCUUCAGUUGUGAGAAAGCCUCUGACUGAGCAAGGAGACCUCGGUCAAGUAUGCGUGGAGUGAGCGCCUUUCCUUUCUCAGUUAAGAAAACUAAGGCAUGAAGAGGUUAAGUAACUUGCCGAAGGCCACAUAAUCAAUCAUAAAGGGAUAAAGAUAUUCAGAAGAUAGAAUCAACAAAAUCUGGUGACUAAAUGGGGAGGGAGAAUCAGGCUCUGCAGUCAGGGGCUCAACGAAAAUCUGUUACUAAAUGAAUCAGAAUUUCUUUAACCAUCUGCAAAGGUACAUUAUAGGACACUGCCCAGCACU